rnacentral:rRNA from 1 species
GGGUGCGAUAAUACCAACAUUAAUGCACCGGAUUUUAUAAGAACUCCAAAGUUAAACAUGCUUGAACGAGAAUAAUACUAAGAUAGAUGACCUCUUAAGAGAUACUCGUGUUGCAUCCC